AGAGCACAGCCUGGCUGAGACUGAAGGCGGCUUAUCCAUCUUGAAUUCUGAGGAAACAGAGACCCAGGGCGUAGGUUUCUGCAAGAGUCACAGGCUCGUGGGAACAAAGUCAAAGUCACUGGGAGAAAACCGGGCUGACUGUGGGACUGGAACUGGAGAGCAUUUCUGGAUUCAGUCCUCUAAAAGGUGCCUCUUGCAUGGUGGCCUGACAUGUCAACGUGCCCAGGAGUCUGUGACAGGCAGCCAGGUGCCUCAAUCCCACUGCCUGGGGGGCCAGGGCUGGGCUGGGACUCACCAUAUUCUGGAAGUCGCACAAACUCCGAGGGCUCGCUGGGAAGGCUGAUUCCCCAGGGGUUACUGGCACUGACUCUGAACUGAUAAGGACACCCGGGACUAAGGUCUUCGAUGACGAGGCCUCAGCCUCCCACUCUGUAAAAUGGGAUUGAUCAUCCCUGUCUGGGUGAUCGAGCAUGUUAAGUAGGGAUACAUGCAUGAAGACACCUUGAAACCUGCCCUGGGUCAUAAAUAUGUCAGGGAGGUUUGGAUCAUCUUAGCCAAAACAGCUGCUCGACAUCUGGGAUCAGAAGGCAGCUGUAAUCUGGCACUGAGGCCUCUGUGCUGAGUUGGAAGACACAACAAGGAACAACUUCUGAAAGAUGAGGAGGCUAAUAUGUUCACAAUUCUGAAGGACCUCCUAGAGACGAAGAGAAGACAGAAAAACAAGAGCAGGAGGCCGGGCGCGGUGGCUUACGCCUGUAAUCCCAGCACUUCCGGAGGCUGAGGCAAGUGGACUGUUUGCGCUCAGGAGUUUCACAGCAGCCAGCAGCCUGGGCAGCAUAGUGAGACCCUGUCUCUACUAAAAAUACAAAAAUUAGCCGGGUGUGGUGGUGUGCGCUUUAGUCCCAGCUACUCAGGAGGCUGAGGUGGGAGGUUGGCUUGAGCCCAGGAGGUGGAGGCUGCAGUGAGCCCACAUUGCACCACUGCACUCCAGCCUGGGUUGAUGGAGCCAAACCCUGUCUCAAAAAAAAUAAACAAUAAAAAUAAAGGAAAAUAAAA